ACUGAGAGAGGGAGACACCCAAGCAGAGGGGAUGCAAAUGGAAUUCUGCAGAAAGAAAAAGAAAGCUUAAGGCGCGCCGCGAGUUCCGCAGGAGCUGCGGGACUCGGUGGCCUUAAGCUUUCCACAGCUCGGCUUGACCUCCAGGUAUUCGUUCAGAGUCAACGAAUUCCUCUGGAAACAGGUUUUGCGAGUGAGGAGACACUAAGAAGUGCGGCCCCUACAGCGGCAGCAACGGAGGCUCCCAGCUGGGAGAAGAUGAAAGCCGAGUAGGAUUGAAAGAUCAAGAGGUACCCCUUGCGUCUCCUUCCUGGGUCCGGCCCACCCAAGCGGGGCUUCCCCCGCCGUCCCGGGGAGGAAGGAGGCUCCAGCCAGGGCUCAGCCUCUCCCGGAUGGGGGGCAUGCCUCCUCCGGGUUUCGGAUCUGAAGCUUCUGGAACGCCCCCUCUGCCCCAUCCCUCUCUGGA